rnacentral:rRNA from 1 species
CUGCAGCCCGAGUGGUGAUCGAUUUUAUUGAGCCUAAAGCGUCCGUAGCCGGACUAGUAAACUCUUGGGUAAAUUGGGCAGCUUAACUGUCCAAAUUCCGAGAGGACUGCUAGUCUUGGGACCGGGAGAGGUCAGAGGUACUCCAGGGGUAGGGGCUAAAUCCGAUAUGCUUUCGUGGCAUUCGGUUAGCAAUCCUGUAAUCCUUUGGGGACCACCAGUGGCGAAGGCGUCUGACUAGAACGGAUCCGACGGUAAGGGACGAAACCCUGGGGCGCGAACCGGAUUAGAUACCCGAGUAGUCC